AUGAACGCUAGCGACAGGCCUAACACAUGCAAGUCAGGGGCAGCACAAGGAGCAAUCUGAGGUGGCGACCGGCGCACGGGUGAGUAACACGUAUGCAACCUGCCUGUAAGCGGGGAAUAACCCGUUGAAAGACGGACUAAUACCGCAUAAUACUAAAUUACUGCAUGGUAAUUUAUUUAAACAUUUAUGGCUUACAGAUGGGCAUGCGCAUGAUUAGCUAGUUGGAGAGGUAACGGCUCCCCAAGGCAACGAUCAUUAGGGGUUCUGAGAGGAAGGUCCCCCACACUGGUACUGAGACACGGACCAGACUCCUACGGGAGGCAGCAGUGAGGAAUAUUGGUCAAUGGACGAGAGUCUGAACCAGCCAAGUCGCGUGCAGGAAGAAUUGUCCUUAUGGAUUAGUAAACUGCUUUUGCAGGGGAAUAAAGUGCAUCACGUGUGAUGUUUUGUAUGUACUCUGCGAAUAAGGAUCGGCUAACUCCGUGCCAGCCGCCGC
rnacentral:rRNA from 1 species